GACGAACGCUGGCGGCGUGCCUAAUACAUGCAAGUCGAACGCUUCUUUUUCCACCGGAGCUUGCUCCACCGGAAAAAGAGGAGUGGCGAACGGGUGAGUAACACGUGGGUAACCUGCCCAUCAGAAGGGGAUAACACUUGGAAACAGGUGCUAAUACCGUAUAACAAUCGAAACCGCAUGGUUUUGAUUUGAAAGGCGCUUUAGGGUGUCGCUGAUGGAUGGACCCGCGGUGCAUUAGCUAGUUGGUGAGGUAACGGCUCACCAAGGCCACGAUGCAUAGCCGACCUGAGAGGGUGAUCGGCCACAUUGGGACUGAGACACGGCCCAAACUCCUACGGGAGGCAGCAGUAGGGAAUCUUCGGCAAUGGACGAAAGUCUGACCGAGCAACGCCGCGUGAGUGAAGAAGGUUUUCGAAUCGUAAAACUCUGUUGUUAGAGAAGAACAAGGAUGAGAGUAACUGUUCAUCCCUUGACGGUAUCUAACCAGAAAGCCACGGCUAACUACGUGCCAGCCGCCGCGGUAA
rnacentral:rRNA from 1 species